rnacentral:lncRNA from 1 species
CUGGUAGCAAGGCCUCUUACGGACAAACGGGACCUUCACUGCCAGUAUCUUCCCAGAGGUGGAUGGGGCAGGAAAGGAUCCCAGGUACCCAAGGAAGGGAUGGCCGGGCUGACCAGGAAGCAGAACAAGGCAUAUUCUCAGACUCGAAGUAGCUGCCUGCUGAUAAAGGAGAUUAAGUCUUCCUCCCAGUCCCAGUGAAGUCGCACUCUCACUUCGUAUUCAGCUUCAGAAUCACCAGCUGUAGAAGACUUUGCUCCAUCUUCUUUGCCAAGUCUUUGCUGUUGAAAGUUACUGCUUACAAUACCAUCAACUAUAUCUCAAUGUAUGUUUGAUUAUACCAUGUAUCUUUCCUCUUUGUAUUACAAACAGGCUCCAUAUGUAAUAGAUAAUGAUAAAAUAAAUAAAUGAAAUGAAAUAAAAAAUUAAAAAAA